rnacentral:rRNA from 1 species
CACGUAGGGCGCAAGCGUUGUCUGGAAUCAUUGGGCGUAAAGCGCACGUAGGCGGUUCGUUAUGUCGGAUGUGAAAGCCCUUGGCUUAACCGAGGAAGUGCAUCCGAAACUGGCGAGCUAGAGUACGAAAGAGGAUCGCGGAAUUCCCGGUGUAGAGGUGAAAUUCGUAGAUAUCGGGAGGAACACCGGUGGCGAAAGCGGCGUGCUGGACCUCUUCUGACGCUGAGGCGCGAAAGCUAGGGGAGCAAACGGG